GAAAAAAAAACACAAGAUUUAGUAAGAUAUUAAAGCCUGUGGUUGCCUAACAUCUCUACAUAAGAUAUAUUAGCAUAUGCCAUUAGUUGCAAAUUUGACGCAUCAUUCGUGUCAACUUCGUCGUGCCUAAGGCAGCAGAUUAAGAUAGAACAGUCUACAGAUUCUUAUCAUCAGCUAUGUGGAGAAAUUUUAGUGCCCAGAUAACUACUUAUUCACCCUCCCACCUUCAGAAG
rnacentral:lncRNA from 1 species